rnacentral:rRNA from 1 species
GAGUUUGAUCCUGGCUCAGAUUGAACGCUGGCGGCAGGCUUAACACAUGCAAGUCGAACGCGUGUAGCAAUACACGAGUGGCGCACGGGUGAGUAACGCGUGGAUAUCUGCCUUUUGGUUCGGAAUAACCCCGGGAAACUGGGGCUAAUACCGGAUGGUUCCUACGGGAUAAAGAUUUAUCGCCAAAAGAUGAGUCCGCGUACGAUUAGCUAGUUGGUGAGGUAAUGGCUCACCAAGGCGACGAUCGUUAGCUGGUCUGAGAGGACGAUCAGCCACACUGGGACUGAGACACGGCCCAGACUCCUACGGGAGGCAGCAGUGGGGAAUAUUGGACAAUGGGGGCAACCCUGAUCCAGCCAUGCCGCGUGAGUGAUGAAGGCCUUCGGUUGUAAGACUCUUUGGUCGGGACGGAUGAUGACGGUA